GUGCUUGCGUUGGCAGCACAUAUACAAAAAUUGGAACAAUACAGAGAAGAUUAGCAUGGCUCCUGUGCAAGGAUGACAUGUAAAUUCGUGAAGCAUUCCAUAUAUUU
rnacentral:snRNA from 1 species